UCUUGUGAGACAGAAGGGCACGCCUAC
rnacentral:piRNA from 1 species